GCUGGUCAGCGGUGAGUCGGGUUCGCACCUUUGCAAGGCGGGGGUCAGGGGUUCGAUUCCCCUCAGCUCCA
rnacentral:tRNA from 1 species